rnacentral:lncRNA from 1 species
GGCGAGGUUGUUAUUGUGUCGGCUCGGUUGUCGUUGGGAGGGGUGAUAAUGCGUUGGCUUGUCAAUCCGGUUAAUGUCGAGAGGCAAGGUUGUUAUCACAUCGGCUUGGUUGUCGGCAAGAGGUGUGAUUGUGUUACACGUGACAUCCUAAAAGGGGUGUUACAAAAUCGUAUGGAGGAUAACGACAUACCUAAGACAAUGUUUCAUAUUCACAAUAGUCCCU